GACGAACGCUGGCGGCGUGCCUAAUACAUGCAAGUUGAGCGAUGAAGAUUGGUGCUUGCACCAAUUUGAAGAGCAGCGAACGGGUGAGUAACGCGUGGGGAAUCUGCCUUUGAGCGGGGGACAACAUUUGGAAACGAAUGCUAAUACCGCAUAACAACUUUAAACAUAAGUUUUAAGUUUGAAAGAUGCAAUUGCAUCACUCAAAGAUGAUCCCGCGUUGUAUUAGCUAGUUGGUGAGGUAAAGGCUCACCAAGGCGAUGAUACAUAGCCGACCUGAGAGGGUGAUCGGCCACAAUGGGACUGAGACACCGCCCAAACUCCUGCGGGAGGGAGCAGUAGGGAAUCUUCGGAAAUGGACGAAAGUCUGACCGAGCAACGCCGCGUGAGUGAAGAAGGUUUUCGGGUCGUAAAACUCUGUUGGUAGAGAAGAACGUUGGUGAGAGUGGAAAGCUCAUCAAGUGACGGUAACUACCCAGAAAGGGACGGCUAACUACGUG
rnacentral:rRNA from 1 species